rnacentral:rRNA from 1 species
AGCGCAGGCGGGAAACUAAGCGGAUCUUAAAAGUGCGGGGCUCAACUCCGUGAUGGGGUCCGAACUGGUUUUCUUGAGUGCAGGAGAGGAAAGCGGAAUUCCCAGUGUAGCGGUGAAAUGCGUAGAUAUUGGGAAGAACACCAGUGGCGAAGGCGGCUUUCUGGACUGUAACUGACGCUGAGGCUCGAAAGCUAGGGUAGCGAAG